rnacentral:rRNA from 1 species
CCUACGGGAGGCUGCAGUGGGGAAUAUUGGACAAUGGGCGAAAGCCUGAUCCAGCCAUGCCGCGUGUGUGAAGAAGGCCUUCGGGUUGUAAAGCACUUUCAGUGGGGAAGAAAGCCUUGGGGCUAAUACCCUCGAGGAAGGACAUCACCCACAGAAGAAGCACCGGCUAACUCCGUGCCAGCAGCCGCGGUAAUACGGAGGGUGCGAGCGUUAAUCGGAAUUACUGGGCGUAAAGCGCGCGUAGGCGGUCUGAUAAGCCGGUUGUGAAAGCCCCGGGCUCAACCUGGGAACGGCAUCCGGAACUGUCAGGCUAGAGUGCAGGAGAGGAAGGUAGAAUUCCCGGUGUAGCGGUGAAAUGCGUAGAGAUCGGGAGGAAUACCAGUGGCGAAGGCGGCCUUCUGGACUGACACUGACGCUGAGGUGCGAAAGCGUGGGUAGCAAACAGGAUUAGAUACCCGGGUAGU